CUUUUAUAGGAUUUUUACAAACCACUCACACACACGUAACCCACCCCCGCCCCACUGCCCUCCGCGUGUGACUGGACAUGACAGGCUUAGCCAGAAUUAUUCUUUUAUCAUUUACCAUUUGCCAAAGCUGCUUCCAUUCAUUGCUCAAACAAGAAUCAAUCUCAUACCACUUCAAUAGUUUAAAAGAUGGCAGAAUUUGUUGGAAGCCGAUAAUACAGAAGCCAUAAUAACCAGAAUUGAACAUAAAUCCCGCAAAAUUGAAAGCUUACUCGGACAGUAUUUUUCUUGAUCAUUAUGCACUCUGAGAAAUUCUUCAUUUUUUCUUAACGGACGGAAACUGAUUACAAUUUUUAUUACAGGCAUAAACCCGUGAAGGCUUUAAAGACAGCCUUGGAAGGCUCCCCUCCCAAUACCAAAGACGAACGCUGUAAGUUCAGAUGUCAGUUUAUAUAUCUAUGUUUGGAUUUUUUAAUUGUUGAAAAUUCUGGGCUCUAUUUUCUUUGUUUUAUUUUGAUCUGAGGUCAAGGGAUGUUAAUUAUUUUCAUUUUUGUUUUUUGGGGUUUUUAAGUCUGCAAAUUGGAUAGUUGUGCAUAGAGCAAUAAUGGCAAUAAAAGGUGUGGAUAGCUUGUUCUCGUAUCUUGAUCCCCGAGUAUUACGUAUUCUGCAGAAGUAAGUUUGAACUGUCAUUUUGUUUUUGUUCUUUUGUUUUCUAUUUUAAUGAUGAAAUUGUGUGUUGCAAUUUGCAUUGUCAAAACAAAAAUGACUGGUCAUUGGCGUACAGAUUUAUUCCUAAAAAACUCACAAAGGCGUGGACCCACUUGAAUAAACAAUAUCAAAAAAUUAACAAUAAAGUUAUUUGUGACACCCCGGACGACACUCCCCUCACAAGAGAGGGGGGCCCAUACGUAAUAAAAUAAUUGUGGGCUCCUCUCUUGUUAGGGGAGUGUCAUCCGGGGUGUCAACCCCGGAUGUACAAAUAGUGAAGUCUAAAAAUUAACCCCCAUGGUGUCGGUAGGGGUUGUACACCAAUCAUAACUCUUGUCAUAAUUUUCUUGUCUACAAUUCUGUUUUUUUGCAACAGGAGAUUUCUGUAAAAUGUUUGGGUUUUUCCAGAAGCUGAUUUAAAAGAUCUGUUUUUUCUUCUGUAGUAAUAGAAAAUUUUGACUUUUUAUGAGGAAUUCUUAAGCAGUGGACUUUAUCCUUUUAAUGUUAAUUUUGCAAGAAGGAAGUUUAACAUGUUCAGCUUUUGCAAAAUAACAAUCGAGGCCCUAAAUUUCUCAAUAACAGAGUUUAUCCAUGGUAUAGGCUGUCAUUUGUUCUUGGAAGCUUUUAGUGUUGGACUGUCGCACUUGUGAAGUUGGAGACUAUUGAUUCAUUAGAAAAGUAUCUACUAUUGAUGCAGAAUGUAAAGCAAAAUGAGAACAAUAGAGAAGAAAUAGAGAGGAGAAGGAGAAGAGUCAAAAAGAAUAAAAUAGACAGAAAUUAAAGAGAGAAGAAGAAUUUGGAGUUUUAAUAAUCAAUAAUUUGAUCAUAUUGAAAUCCAAGUUCCCUUUAACAGGGUGAAGUGCUUAAGUCUUACUGAACCUUUAAGUUAUCAAAAUAUAAAAUCUUAGAUAAAUCAAAACUACAGAAACACGAUGUAAAUCAACCUCUACUUUAAAUCCUAUUUCUCCUAACUCAUAUCUUUAUUCCCCAUCACAACGUUUAAGUUGUUUGCGACCCAACAAAAAUCACUGGUUUGGAUACCCCCUCAUUGGGAGCAUGCUUGAAUACUCAUGUUAAUAAGCCUAUAGAAGAUUUGUUUUUCAUUAUUAUUUUCAAUACUAAACAAGUUCAAACCUCAAAGUGAAGACACAAAAAUGUUUUCUAACUUUAGCAUGCUACCUGCAGCCAAGGUAAAACGGGCAAAAACUGGUCUAUGGGUCAAGAAAAGGAAAGGAAAGGUCUUGCAACAUGACUAGGGUUUAACUUGGAAAAGGACCAAUAAAUUUUUUGAUGAGUGUGGGUGCAACCAUUACUUUUUCAAAAAUGGCCUAUCACUAUUAAAAUAUAGUAAUUCUUCUAAAAUUGAAAGGAUCAGGUUCUACACAACUUGCUUUAUUGGAGAUCUCAUAGAAAAUGUUACCACAUAGAAACCCUUUUACUUAAAGAUUUCAAAUUGUUCGUCCUAAAUUAGAAAUAGAAAAUGGAGAAAAGGUGAUUGUUGAUUUAAUGAACUUGUGAAACUCAUUGAUAAACGAAUAGAGUAAAGGAGAGGCUUGAACUUCUGGCGGUGACGUGUCAAGUAUGAUGUUCACUUUUCAUAAAAUUGAGCAGAAGGGGCCGUGAUGAAAAAAGGAUAUAUCAGCUGACCUUUGACUUCCACACGUGUUCUUUUUUGCAUAAUAUAUUGCAUGAUUUUAUUUCAUCGACGUUUACAGCUGGGAAGAUGUAAAGAAAACUGUUCCAUGUCAUAUCUAGCAUUUCUGAACAAGUGUGCCAAGGGUCACAAUAUUAUAUCAUUAUGUUCUGUUUCAUGGACACCACUCUUCAGUGCGAACAGGACAAGUAUCGCUGAAAGUGUUAUUUUUUUUUGUGAUUGUCAGUGUUGUUUCUAUUAUUUUUGUCAUUUUGGGGAUUUAAACAUAUGGCAGUUAGUUAUAGCUGCAAAUAGGGUAUCAAUCUCUUGGGUUCUGAAUUCUUAGAAAGAACCUAUAUUGAAUUGUAUACGGGAUCCGCUGCGUGCUGAUAUUUUGCACAGCUUGAAUAUAGUAUCUUAUUUACUUGAACCUCAUGAAGACUUUUCGAUAUAUAUGGCACAUUUUAUAUUGUUGAGAAACUGAAUGAUAGAUAAUCAUCUAGCAAAGAUGUGUAUUUAAAAUUUAAUUUGCAUUAUUGCAUCAAAUUAUAUUGUUACAUCGCAUGUACUAAGUCUCCAUAUUACCCAGUUGUACUUUUGAAAUGAAACUCUACCAGAAUCUCAUUUCUGAAAGAAAAACAAAAAGUUAUAUAGGGAUGAAUGACACCUUGAAUAGAGUAACAGAUGAGUUUGAGGGGUCGGGAAAGUCCUGUCUUGAUAUUUUGUCUGAGAAGUCUAUCUGUACUUGUAUGUAUACUUGGAUGUAUUUGUUGAAAAGGUAGAUAGAAUUUUAUUCUGUUUUGAAUUGAAUGUAAGAUCCUAAUUGUUAUUGUAUUGAAGACCUAAUAAACCAUAUUUGAUUUAAUUGUAGGGUCUUCAUUAUAGACACGUGUAUAUUGAAUAAAAUACAAGAUUUCUCUCUGAUUCUCUCUCUCUUCUCCUCUCUUCCCCCUUUCUUCUCUGAUUCUUCUCAGUUCUCAUACAGCUUGUUGCUUGUUUAGUUUGUUGUUAUGAUCAUGUGUUUUCAAAACUAUGAUGAAACUUAACUUUUCAAAAGAAAGAGUGAAGUGCAUUUCUUGUUUUGCCAUACGUUUGAUUAAAAAGAAUAAAGAGGGAGAAGUUUUAGGUUAGUGCAGUGUUUUUGUUUAUUUAUUCUUUUUCUUGAAGCAAAAUGAUAUGCCAUUUGCAGUUUUCAAUUCUCUCUCCCUUUUUGUAUCAACUCAUAAAGACAAAUGAAUUCGAUACGACCUCAUUGUAUUUUAUUACCCAUUCCCCAAUGUUAACCUCUGAUUUCCCUCAGAUGUGCUCCACAGAUAACUCAAACUUUUUGUUACCGCUACCUAUUUGGCACUGGCCUCAUUGCACUGACAUGAAUUUGUUGGAUGCCACUGACUUCCGUUCUCUCCCCUCCCCUUCCCUCACAUCAACCCCCACCCCUCUUCCUCUCUCUUAUUAUGCUCCUUCCAGAGACUAUAAUGUUCUUCCCGUCUCCUUUGAAACUUCGAAAUCCGAAAAUGUCCGAUUAUUUGUUCUGAUGCAGUUGUCAAACAGGGUUAUUCCAUGGGCUGAUUUGUAUAGUUAAUAAAACAUAAAAUCUACUAGCCAAUUAUUACAUCAUUCUUCAAGGACUUGGAAGCUUUUUAUUUUGAGGUCCACUUUGUCUUGUAAGAGGUCAAGAUUCCCCCUUUCUUGGAGAAGAAAAAGGAGGCACCUUGGGAACUAUAAUUCGAAUAGAGGACGCAAUGAUUAUCAGUAGAAUAUAACCAUAUGAGGUGUAAAAUAGAAUAUUCAUGUACUAUACUCUUGUUGAUUUGAGUUUGUAGGUCUUUUACGUCGUACCUUUCUGAUACGUUAAGCUCUUAUGGCAUAAUGAGCACGUCUAAUUAUUAACUGUGCUUCUAAAGCAUAAUGAUGCCGGCAGAAUGCUGUGUAAAUAACCCGAUGUUGGAAAUACCAGUUUUUUUAUUUGUAUUCUUGAUGAGCUCCGAUGUACAGUAUGCAUAUCUACCUGCUACAUGAUUGAUAGGUAUUUGUAUAGAGGCUUGUCUACUGGAGAUCGACCCACAUGCGACCAAUGCCUGCGAAUUCACGAGAAGCUGGCUGAGAGAGCUGGUUUGGGAUGCAUAUUACGAUCACUUGCAGACACAGUGAACACUGUUUGAUAACCAGUUUAUGAAAUGGAUCCCCAGUUGUUUAUUAUCCCCAUAGACUUGUACACAAAGUGGCACAAGGAACUUGAUUUUAAGCCAUGUCUCUCUCUUAAUUUAGCUAUGAAAUGAUGCUAUCUUUAGAGCCUGUUUGAUUCCAUUAAUUGUU
rnacentral:lncRNA from 1 species